UUACCACUCCAGGGCCAACUACUUCAACAACAACUAGCACAACAACAACCACAGCGACGAGAAACGAGGCUGCACUGAAGUGCAAGGCAAUGAACAUGGUGCUCUUGGCCGUGACCUCCUUCGAGGAAAUGGACUGCCUAUCCACCUUUAGAGGCACAAUGUUCUGGACGAGCGGCUCAAAUGAAGACUUCAAAUGCGAUUUGGAGAAAAAAUACGCGUGGUGUUCGACGGGAUUCAACAUCUCAACAACUCUAAUCGCGUCGGAGAAAUUUUGGCUGGCAACCACCGCUGCUCCGUCCACUCUAGACCGAUGCCUGGCGUUCGUUAACUCGAAUAACACCUCGCAAAGGGGGAUGGUGCACAGAAAGUGCGACGAAACCCUGCCCUUCAUCUGCCAACUUCCUAUUGAGUGUCCGAAAU